GCAGGAGGCUGGGGACGUGCAAAAGGUGCGGGACACCCUGUGGGACGCUGCCUGCUGUCCCCGCAGCCUCCCUGUGCUUCACGGCUGUGGCUUUCGCUUCAGAGGUGGUUGGAAGUCACAGCAAAGGAGAGGUGAAGCCCGCCAGCUUCCUCCUCCAUUGCCAGCAGGGUGAACAUUGUCUCUGCAAAUGCACACUGCCAGCCUGAAAGUGGUCCUUCGAUAGCUGGGUGUAUGGGAAUAUAGAGGAAGAAUGGCGAGGAGGUUAGUUAAAUGUAAAUACGCUCAAGUGAUUUGCACCUGUCUGUAGAAAAAGCACAUACAUCACACUAAUUGUUUUACUGACCUUGUGUGCUUGAUGAGUAGAACCUCUGUGUUAGAUAACAUAGGCCUGUGAGAAACUCCAGGCACCUUAUCACUGUGUCUGAGAUUCCUGCUUUGUUGUGAGAAAGAGCGGGAGGCUGUGCCUACAGGCGAGAUCAGCAGGGAUCUUCCAGCAGGGCUGAACUGACCAGCGCCUGCGUCCCCGCUGGUGUCACCUCUGUCUGGGAGCUCAGGUGUGGCUUCGGAGAUCUCCCAGUAGAGAGGACUAGAACUUAGCACAACAAUAAAGUGGCAGGAACACAGCCUGGUUCAGCUCUCAAACACUGCAGGAGGCUGCAAGGACACCUAAGCUGCAGAUAAACUUCCCAAGUAGGGAACAGCUCAUCUUAAGAAAUGCACGUGACGGUUCUGGUGGGAUUUCUGUAGAUGCUGCGUGUACCACAUGGCUGUGCACGGAUUUUGGAGCCAUCCAUGAUGUGGGGAAGAUACUGCAUCCCUCACGCAGUCUCUGGUUACCAAGGCAAAGGCAGGUUCAACCUGGUGAUUCAUUCUUCCUGCAGCUAUGUUUCCAGGAAAAGACAAAGUGCUGGCCCUUCUCCAAGUUAUCCAUAGACUGGGAGUAAGUUCAGAAAGCACUCCUCCUGCAGCUGGGACACUUUCUAAGAAGGGAGAAAUUGAACAAAACAUCCCAGAGCUGGUAUUAUCGCCCUGCAGACAAGCAAGGAGGCGCCUGGCCUUGGAAAGGCAUGUGCAGUACUAAGUCAAGCGCUAGUGCGGGGGAAGAGCAGCCCUCCUCCCUUCCCCUUUGCAGCAUUACACACCAAGAACAAGUAUGAGACCCAUGGGAAGCGUCAGCCAAAACCAAAACCUUCACGCCCAAAUAGCAGUGAGACACGUCACAUACUCCAGCCACUCCAAGUUCCCAGCACUUUGCAUCUUUUCAGGACAAGUAUGUGGGGUUUUGGCCCUCGACGGCUGAGUCCCGGUGCUCGGCUGCCUGAUGAGCCACUCUUGCUCGCUUCUUCGCCCUCCAACGAGGAUCUCUCACUGCCCAAAACCGCAGCUUUGGCAAAAGGUUCUCUGAGGCCGCUCCAAAGCCCAGACUUAGCAGAAGUCUCGACUUGCUGCAGUUGUACCUCCUUCCACCAAAGCCGGGCAGCCACAUCACAUGCGCUGGCAUGGCUGCAAGGAACAGGAUGGACGCGGUUUAAGGAACGGAUACUCGUUGUCCUGGCUUGCUGAGGUGUGCAGAUUUUCCUGUGAUUCCUAUCAUCACUGUGGACAGAGCAGGCUCAACUCCACCAGCUUUGAGCCGCUGGACAGGCCCUAGCAGCACAGCUUGCUCAGCUCCUACCACUUUUUAAUAUAGACUCAGCCAGCUGCAAACACUAAGGGUAUUGCCUUUCUGGUGUAAGAGGGUGAAUUACACCAGUUUUACUAUUAAAUCAGCGCAGGUGCAAGCCAGUUCUUAUUCUUGCUCGAGAAUUAAUUACUUCGUGAAACCACACCAGCCCUCCAGCUUUCUGCUUUUCCCCCACCGUCCUCACCGAAAAUCAGUGGGUGCAAGGCCAGAGGGAAGAGAACACUGACUUCUGAAUGGCUGUUUUGUGUGAAACCCCUUCAUUUCUCCCUGACUCAGCCGAUAGUCGAGUCCUGGUCCUCCCAAAACCCAGGAUUAGGGCUCGCCAUCCUACAGCUUUCCAAGCAGAGGACGAAAGCUGCAGCGGUUCAAAAGCACUAAAAGCAAAUCUCUGAGGCCCUCGUGUAAUCCACAGCGAGGUCAGAUUUCUCCGGACUAACAAGGCUUUACAAACUGUCAGUAGCGUGUGUGGAGAGGCUUAACUAACACAGCUUAGAGAACUUGCCAGCAAGUGAAAAAGUAGAAUUUGUUAGUCUGAGGGAAUAAUUAUAAAUAAUUUGGUUCCUCCCUUUAUUGUGCCUGAGAUUAAGUUGCACAGAUUCUAGAAAUGCAGCAUCUAUGGCUUCCUCUCUGCGAUCACAUGGGAGAGCCAGUGUUAGGAUUUGUCCUACAAGAUGGAGCAAAACCCUGAGCCUGCCUAUCUCUGGAAUAACUGCCAGCACAACAGCAGCGUUUUGUAAUACUUUACGUGUUCUUAAGUCUUCUGCAGGGCCAUUCUUCUUAUCAGAGCCCAGAGGUAAAUUUUUGUGGCGAUAGCGAGGCGAUCCACUGCAGGACGACUUAAGUCCGUGUUUAUCAGGGCCUCUGGCUGCCGUGGGUGUCUUGCCCUGUAAUCCGCCUUCCCUGGGGCGUAUUUGAGCAUUCCAGUCCUCUGGGCAGCUCUCGGGUAGCUCAGACCCACCACGCGAACCCGCAGCUGCCGGAGACUUUCAAUACAGCGAACCAGCAGGCAGGUGAAACGCAGGGCAGCAAACCAUACGGAUGCAGCAGGGACAUUCCAUUGCUUAUGCUCAACUGCUGGAGGGACUUCACCCCAAAGUGACCAGAAGCGACUCCCAGGUGGCCGCCGUGAGCCCCCACCGCCCAGCUGCCCACUUGGCGUGUGUGGGGGUAGGUGAGCACGACGCUCCGGACCAACAUGGAAGCCCUUAAAACCUUUAAUAAUGGGGGGAAAGAGCAAGCGAGGCUCGCAGCCAACCUUUAGAGCUCCCCGGAGCAGCACGGAGGCUGCCGGCGUCCCCCGCUGAGCCUCUCUGGGCGCAGCCGCCGCGGGGACAGCACGCAGGCGAGGUGUUAUUUCUCUUAUUUAUUAAUACAUUUCUGUAUUUUU